rnacentral:rRNA from 1 species
GACGAACGCUGGCGGCGUGCCUAAUACAUGCAAGUAGAACGCUGAAGGAGGAGCUUGCUCUUCUGGAUGAGUUGCGAACGGGUGAGUAACGCGUAGGUAACCUGCCUGGUAGCGGGGGAUAACUAUUGGAAACGAUAGCUAAUACCGCAUAAGAGUAGAUGUUGCAUGACAUUUGCUUAAAAGGUGCAAUUGCAUCACUACCAGAUGGACCUGCGUUGUAUUAGCUAGUUGGUGGGGUAACGGCUCACCAAGGCGACGAUACAUAGCCGACCUGAGAGGGUGAUCGGCCACACUGGGACGGAGACACGGCCCAGACCCCUACGGGAGGCAGCAGUAGGGAAUCUUCGACAAUGGACGGAAGUCUGGCCGGGCAACGCCGCGGGAGUGAAGAAGGUUGUCGGAUCGUAAAGCUCUGUUGUAAGAGAAGAAAGAGUGGGAGAGUGGAAAGUUCACACUGUGACGGUAUCUUACCAGAAAGGGACGGCUAACUACGUG